UGAUGCAGCGACGCCGCGUGAGGGAUGACGGCCUUCGGGUUGUAAACCUCUUUCAGCAGGGAAGAAGCGAAAGUGACGGUACCUGCAGAAGAAGCGCCGGCUAACUACGUGCCAGCAGCCGCGGUAAUACGUAGGGCGCAAGCGUUGUCCGGAAUUAUUGGGCGUAAAGAGCUCGUAGGCGGUCUGUCACGUCGGAUGUGAAAGCCCGGGGCUUAACCCCGGGUCUGCAUUCGAUACGGGCAGACUAGAGUGUGGUAGGGGAGAUCGGAAUUCCUGGUGUAGCGGUGAAAUGCGCAGAUAUCAGGAGGAACACCGGUGGCGAAGGCGGAUCUCUGGGCCAUUACUGACGCUGAGGAGCGAAAGCGUGGGGAGCGAACAGGAUUAGAUACCCUGGUAGUCCACGCCGUAAACGGUGGGAACUAGGUGUUGGCGACAUUCCACGUCGUCGGUGCCGCAGCUAACGCAUUAAGUUCCCCGCCUGGGGAGUACGGCCGCAAGGCUAAAACUCAAAGGAAUUGACGGGGGCCCGCACAAGCAGCGGAGCAUGUGGCUUAAUUCGACGCAACGCGAAGAACCUUACCAAGGCUUGACAUACACCGGAAACGGCCAGAGAUGGUCGCCCCCUUGUGGUCGGUGUACAGGUGGUGCAUGGCUGUCGUCAGCUCGUGUCGUGAGAUGUUGGGUUAAGUCCCGCAACGAGCGCAACCCUUGUUCUGUGUUGCCAGCAUGCCCUUCGGGGUGAUGGGGACUCACAGGAGACUGCCGGGGUCAACUCGGAGGAAGGUGGGGACGACGUCAAGUCAUCAUGCCCCUUAUGUCUUGGGCUGCACACGUGCUACAAUGGCCGGUACAAAGAGCUGCGAAACCGUGAGGUGGAGCGAAUCUCAAAAAGCCGGUCUCAGUUCGGAUUGGGGUCUGCAACUCGACCCCAUGAAGUCGGAGUUGCUAGUAAUCGCAGAUCAGCAUUGCUGCGGUGAAUACGUUCCCGGGCCUUGUACACACCGCCCGUCACGUCACGAAAGUCGGUAACACCCGAAGCCGGUGGCCCAACCC
rnacentral:rRNA from 1 species